rnacentral:lncRNA from 1 species
AUGCACACAGAUGUCUGCCUAAACAAAUGCUUUCACAUAACUGACAGUUCUGUACUUCCAAGCAAAUUUUGUCCCUUGUUUUCAGGAAGACCACACAACCCUGGAGGAUUCUGUCAGAAGGCUCUGCAGGGCUGUACUGUGAAUCAAAGACAGACCCUGCACUCUCCUUUGCUUUGCAUUGGCUCCACUGUGGGAGCUCAAGGAUGUGUCAUGACAUCAGAACAAAACAAGGUAGCCAGCAAAAGCCAGCCAUAGGGAAGAGAGCAGCCAAGAAGAAGAGUGAGCCGACGGAUGACUCCUGGACACACUGGUAAGCGUGGCAUCUGGAAAAGUUUCUUUGAUGACUUGUACAAAAGAAAAUGUUACAAGAGGUACUGAUAGGAAAGUGCGAGCGAUUCACUGAAGAUGAAGCAACUCUCAGAUCAUAACUGUGUCUGUUCUCUUCUGAGCUACCGUAACCUUCACUUACACAAAGUUCCAUGCCCCCUGUUCUCUCCCUAGCGCUCAGGGAUGUG